rnacentral:rRNA from 1 species
GACGAACGCUGGCGGCGUGCUUAACACAUGCAAGUCGAACGGAAAGGCCCUGCUUUUGUGGGGUGCUCGAGUGGCGAACGGGUGAGUAACACGUGAGUAACCUGCCCUUGACUUUGGGAUAACUUCAGGAAACUGGGGCUAAUACCGGAUAGGAGCUCCUGCUGCAUGGUGGGGGUUGGAAAGUUUCGGCGGUUGGGGAUGGACUCGCGGCUCAUCAGCUUGUUGGUGGGGUAGUGGCUUACCAAGGCUUUGACGGGUAGCCGGCCUGAGAGGGUGACCGGCCACAUUGGGACUGAGAUACGGCCCAGACUCCUACGGGAGGCAGCGGUGGGGAAUAUUGCACAAUGGGCGGAAGCCUGAUGCAGCAACGCCGCGUGCGGGAUGACGGCCUUCGGGUUGUAAACCGCUUUCGCCUGGGACGAAGCGUGAGUGACGGUAAUGGGUAAAGAAGCACCGGCUAACUACGUG